GUGAAAAUCAGUUUAAUUUGAAUUUAAAAUUUUAUUAAUUUUUUUUGUAUUGUUUUUGUUUUUAAAAUAAUAAUUAUUUUUAGUAUUUUUUAGAGAAAAAAUUUAUUUUAUGAUAGUUUAUAAGUAUAGUGAUAGAAUAAUUAAAUAAUGUUUUUAAAUUUUUAAAAGAAUAAUUAAUUUUUAGUACCUUGUGUAUCAGGGUUUAUUAAAUAAAUUUUAAAUAUUUAAAUUUCUCGAAUUUAAAAGAGCUAAGAAGUUAUUUAUUUUUAUUGUAGAAUAAAUAUUUUAAAUAAUUUUUUUGUAAUGAAACGUUAUUCGUUUUUAAAUAUAUCUAGUUUUCUAAGAAAUGAAUUUAAUUCAGGAUUUUAUUUGAAUAUUAUUAUUGUUUAUUUUAUUCAAUUUAAAAUACUAAUAAUUUUAGGGAUAAGCUUAAAAUUAAAUUUUUAUAAUUUAAUAUUUUUAUUAAGAUAAAUAUAAUUAGAAUUUUUAAUUUUUAUUAAUAUGUAAUAAUUAAUCUUAUUUAAUUUAAUAUUUAUAUUAAAUUUAAGUUUUUUAUUAGAAAUUUUAAUUUAAUUGUAUAGUUGAAGUUAUAAUGAUAAAAUUAGUAUAUUUUUAUUUUAUAUUUAAUUUAAUUUUUAAGGUUAAGUUAAGGAAUUCGGCAAAUAUUUUUUUCACCUGUUUAAUAAAAACAUGGCCUUUUGUUAAUAAUUUAAGGUCUAACCUGCCCAAUGAUUUAUUUAAUGGCCGCAGUAUUUUGACUGUGCAAAGGUAGCAUAAUCAUUAGUUUCUUAAUUAGGGACUGGAAUGAAUGGUUGGAUGAGAAAAAAACUGUCUUUAUUUAAUUUUAUUAGAAUUUUAUUUUUAAGUUAAAAAGCUUAAAUUUAAUUUAAAGACGAGAAGACCCUAUAGAGUUUAAUUUAAUUUAAAAUAUUUAUUUUAAAGAAUUUAAUUAUAAAUAUUUUAAAUUAAAUUUAAUUGGGGUGAUUAAGAAAUUUAAUGAACUUUCUUUUUGUUUUAUCAUUGAUUUAUGAUUUUGUUGAUCCAGAUUUUUUGAUUAUAAGAUUAAAUUACCUUAGGGAUAACAGCGUAAUUUUUUUGGAGAGUUCUAAUCGAUAAAAAAGUUUGCGACCUCGAUGUUGGAUUAAAAUUUAGGAUUGGUGCAGUAGCUAAUCUUUUAGGUCUGUUCGACCUUUAAAAUUUUACAUGAUCUGAGUUUAAACCGGUGUGAGCCAGGUUGGUUUCUAUCUUGAAUUUAUUAUAAUAUUUUAGUACGAAAGGACCAAUUAUUAGUAAUAUUUACUUUUUUUGAAUAAUAUU
rnacentral:rRNA from 1 species